UUUUGUCUUAGGAGCAUACUAGGUUGGCGGAGAAAGAGAAGACUAUUCUUUUUAUUUAUUCCCUAUUUGACUUUCUUUGAAAUAAUUUUUUUUAAUUCUCAUGCUCAUUUUUAAUUAUACAUUAAAUUCAAAAUUUUUUAUUUAUAUAUUCUAAAAAAUUACUAUUCAUAAUAUUAUUUUCCUUCAAAUUUCUGAUCGAAUUUCUCUAUGUUCCAUAAAAAACAUUAUUGUCAAUAUUUGGUUAACUGUACAUGAAAAUGAAAAUGAAAAUGAAAAUAAAGCGACGAAAUUAACGUUCAAGUUGAUGGAUGUGUAAAAGGACAUCUUCUUUGUUUAAUCCACAAGAAUAUCCAACCAGGCCUGUUUUAAUUCUUAUCAAGAGAGCAGUAGACAGCGGUUAUGGGUUUUCUCAUUGGUAUUGCACUAAAAAUUUGGAACUAUAUACUGUGAAGGAGAGGGAAAUAGGGUGGAUUUGUUCAUCGUUCAUCACCAUCUUAGCCCCAAUUUUAUCUCGUGUUGCAGUGAUUUCUCCGAGGAAGCAGACUGUAAUAUCAGAUUUUUUUUUUUUGUAAAAUCAUGAUUUAAAUCUAUUGGGACAUUAAUAUACCGGUUUCGCACUCGAUUUGAUGGUUGUGAAUGAUUUNNN
rnacentral:lncRNA from 1 species